rnacentral:rRNA from 1 species
GAUGAACGCUAGCUACAGGCUUAACACAUGCAAGUCGAGGGGUAACGAGAGGAAAGCUUGCUUUCCUUGUCGACGACCGGCGCACGGGUGAGUAACGCGUAUCCAACCUGCCCCCAACUAGGGAAUAACCUUGCGAAAGUAAGACUAAUACCCUAUAAUUUCCUCAGAUGUCAUCUGACGAGGAAUAAAGAUUUAUCGGUUGUGGAUGGGGAUGCGUCUGAUUAGCUUGUUGGCGGGGUAACGGCCCACCAAGGCAACGAUCAGUAGGGGUUUUGAUAGGAAGGUCCCCCACAUUGGAACUGAGACACGGUCCAAACUCCUACGGGAGGCAGCAGUGAGGAAUAUUGGUCAAUGGGCGGAAGCCUGAACCAGCCAAGUAGCGUGCAGGAUGACGGCCCUAUGGGUUGUAAACUGCUUUUAUACAGGAAUAAAGUUAGCCACGUGUGGUUAUUUGUAGGUACUGUAUGAAUAAGGACCGGCUGAUUCCGUGCCAGCAGCCGCCGUAA